AAAGAAAGGCAAAAAGGGGCCUAAAGGGGAGAAAGGAGAACAGGGUGCUCCUGGAUUAGAUGCACCUUGCCCAUUGGGUCCUGAUGGAUUACCAAUGCCUGGCUGUUGGCAAAAGUGAUGAAUCUAACAUUACAAGCAUGAAGUUGUGUAUAUAGUGCUCCACUUUUUGUAUUUAUAGUUGAAAACUGAAAAUUUGAUUUUACAAGUCUGAGA